CGUUAACAGGCCGCGCUCCAGCACAACUUCACGUACGCUCUUACCGGUUUCAGCACAGAUUUUACCGACGAUGUCGCCGUUGUGGUGGCCGAUGAACGGGUUGAGGUAAGUGACGAUACCGAUGGAGUUGUAAACGUACCCUUCGCACACUUCUUUAUUCGCGGUAAUGCCGUUAACGCAUUUUUCCAGCAGGUUGUAGCACGCGUUGCUCAGAAUGUGGAUGGAUUCGAACAUCGCCUGACCGAUAACCGGCUCCAUAACGUUCAACUGCAACUGACCGGCUUCCGCCGCCAUCGUAACGGUGGUGUCGUUACCGAUGACUUUAAAGCAUACCUGGUUUACGACUUCCGGUACAACCGGGUUCACUUUGGCUGGCAUGAUGGAAGAGCCCGCCUGCAGU
rnacentral:misc_RNA from 1 species